GUACUGCUGAGGAGUCCCAAACUAGGACGAAACAGCCUUUACAGUAC
rnacentral:hammerhead_ribozyme from 1 species